UACGAAGGGGGCUAGCGUUGCUCGGAAUCACUGGGCGUAAAGCGCACGUAGGCGGCUUCUUAAGUCAGGGGUGAAAUCCUGGAGCUCAACUCCAGAACUGCCUUUGAUACUGAGGAGCUUGAGUCCGGGAGAGGUGAGUGGAACUGCGAGUGUAGAGGUGAAAUUCGUAGAUAUUCGCAAGAACACCAGUGGCGAAGGCGGCUCACUGGCCCGGUACUGACGCUGAGGUGCGAAAGCGUGGGGGGAGCAAACAGG
rnacentral:rRNA from 1 species